UCCAGCGGUGGGCUGUUAGCGUGCGCCUCUGAACCCAAGCUCACUUUUCAGCCAAAUCCUUUUUUUCUAACCUCCAUGUACUUCAAAUUAUUAUCUGUUAUCCAAGAUACUCUGAACAUUGAAGGUACACAGUGAGACGGCAUGGACGCGGGAGGAGAGAGGUGCAGCACGGCUGAGAAGUGCGCACUCAGACUCGGACUGGGACGAGCGACGAGCGUCUCCAAUGGCUUCUCAGUCUGAAACUGGCGCUGACUGGACUGGGCAGACUUUGGCUGUAGGAAGGCGUGAAUUCUUCUGCAAAAUGGAAGAUGUCUUAGCAGGAGACAGACUGCGGCCCCCCACCCACUCAGCAGCCGCCGGUGACCCCUGACCUCUUCAUGUGUUUAUAUCAGAUGGUGGAAGUGAGAAAUAGUGAUGAGUCACCGGGCUCUGUGUUUACACUCUGGAGUCACGCAAGGAAGGAAAUCAGGCCCGGUCUGGUGGCGAGGUGAGGAGGAGGAGAGGAGGAGAGGAGAGCAGCAGCACCGGCUUCACUG